rnacentral:rRNA from 1 species
CUUUACUGCAGCUUUGCACUGGACUUUGAUCUUGCUUGUGUAGGAUAGGUGGGAGGCUUUGAAGCGUGGACGCCAGUUCGCGUGGAGCCAUCCUUGAAAUACCACCCUGGCAAUAUUGAGGUUCUAACCAUGUCCCGUUAUCCGGGAUUGGGACAGUGUAUGGUGGGUAGUUUGACUGGGGCGGUCUCCUCCUAAAGAGUAACGGAGGAGUACGAAGGUGCGCUCAGACCGGUCGGAAAUCGGUCGUAGAGUAUAAAGGCAAAAGCGCGCUUAACUGCGAGACCCACAAGUCGAGCAGAUACGAAAGUAGGUCUUAGUGAUCCGGUGGUUCUGUAUGGAAGGGCCAUCGCUCAACGGAUAAAAGGUA